ensembl:lncRNA
GGUUUUGGUUAGGUGUUAGGAAGAAAUUCUUCACUGAGAGGAUGGUGAGGUACUGGAAAAGGAUGCCCAGAGAAGAUAUGGAUGCCCCAUCCCUGGAGGCAUUCAAGGCCAGGCUUGAUGUGUUCCUGGGCAGUCUAAUCUAGUGAUUAAUAACUCUGCCUGUGGCAUGGGGGAUUGGGACUAGAUGAUCUUUGAGGUCUCUUCCAACCCAAGCCAUUCUAUGAUUCUAUGGUCUUUAGGUCUGCACCAACAGUAGUGCCAACCACAUCACACUGAGAUAGGAAACAAAACAGAAAAAAAAGGGAAUUCCUCUACUCUUUACCCUACAAAAUGCAAUACAGGGCUAUUUGGGACCCCCAGAGUUUUUAAAAUCCAUCUCACACUGCACUUGAACACAUCCCCCUUAAAGAAUGACUGACAUUAUUGAUUUCUUUCUGCCCUUUUCCUCUGAGAUGAUAGAACAGACAAGAAAAUCUUUAUCAGCAUAUAACACAUUUCUUAAAAACAAUUUCAAUCUCACAGUUGAAAUAAAUAAUUAAAAUAUUGCUUUUUUUUCCUUAAGGUCUCUGCACACCUAUUCAUGAAACGUGUGUAGCCCACAGGCUUGUACAUCUAAUCAUUAACAAACCUUCUUUCAUUCUCCAUUUGUGGAGAUGCUAACUACUUCAACACCUAUGUUCAUAGGGACAAUUCAGCUGGCUGGCCAGUAGCUUAUUAUCCAUCCCUAUUCAAGGAACACUUUUCCAAGAAACACUUCAGCUUCCAGCACAGUAACUACAGAGGAAAUGCUGCUGGCUGCGGUGCAGCAUGACAAGUAGUAAUCUCUCCUCAUGCAAACUUAAAGUAUAGUGAGACUGACAUGGCACCUCAGCACGUGUACUACCCAACUCUGGGAUUUCAAACUACAUGCCAUUCCCUUCCAGUUGGAGACAAGUUUAUGAGCUUGAGCAGGCAAUGAAAGCUUCUUUCCAUACUAAUGAAAUGUCCAAGUCCUAAUGGAUUAGUAGUUUUCAUAUCAGAUUAAAUCUGCUUUUUUUUUUUUGUUUUGUUUUGUUUUUUGCUGAUAAAGGCACAAAAGUCACUCCUAAUAGGCUUUCACAUUUUGUUAGCAAAAAUACAUUUCAAUAGAGCACAGUGCCAAUGAGAUACAAACAAGACAGAAAAGGCCCUAACACGUUAUGACGGACUGCUCAGAAG